AAUUUGAGAAAUGAAAGGGAAAGAACAGGUCAAACACGUCAUCUGUGACAUGUACAGGAGCGUAUAAAACAUUUGUCGUGUGUCAUUUCUUCAUUCUCCACCUGCUCGGCAGCAGCUCUCCUUCCAUUCACCCAGCAGAGUGUUUUAGUUGUGAUGGCAGCAUCAGUGUCACCCAGCAGCAGAGGACUGACUACAGUCAGAACCUCCAAAGGCCUCUUCCUCAUCUUCUCUCUGCUCAGUCUGGUUUAUGUUACAACUUCACAGACAAGUAACAUGGACAAACUGAAUGCAAUGGUAGAGCAACCACACUCAGAUUUUUUCUCUUGGAAAUUUCUGGAAUCACUCAAGGAGCACUAUCAGAAAGCAUUGGUGGAACUAGUUAGAAAUAAGACGUCACACGAGAGAAGAGCUGAAACUGUUUCAGUUGAAAUUAAUGAAGUCAUAGAUCAUCUUAAUUCUAUUUUGAAGCUGGUGGGUGAAGUGUCUGAUGGGUCUGCACUGAAGGAGGUGAUGCAGGAUUUUGUGGACAGAACCACAACUUACACAAAACAAAAAAUGAUGAACUACACUAAACAACUACAUGACAAUGAAAACAAGCUGCAAAGCAUGUACAUGUUAAUUAAAUUUCUGGAGCGCCACCACGCUGAACUGUAACAGUUACGUAUGUAACAGUUCUCAUCUCUGUGUCUGUUGAUCUGUGUAAUAUUCUGCGCAGCCUUAGUUUUUGUGAAAUCCUGGUUUCCUCUCUGUUUUUAAUUUGUAUGUGUCUGAGUGAUGUGAUGAGACACAAAACAUGUCAAUAACAUGGUCUUUAAUACAUAUAUACUUUGCUUGGGAUUUAACCUUUUAUUGCAGUAAUUAAAGAGAUCGUUUUGCUUAUUUUAGUUUUACUCCUGUUUAAUUUUCUGUCAAUCAGUUCUUUAAUUAAACUAUUUUACAUCAGUAUAACCUGUUGUUUAUAUACAUAUGAAUAUAUCCAACUUAAAUAAAUGUAAUAUAU